rnacentral:rRNA from 1 species
GGCCGAAAGGCGUAGUCGAUGGGAAACAGGUUAAUAUUCCUGUACUUGGUGUUACUGCGAAGGGGGGACGGAGAAGGCUAUGUUGGCCGGGCGACGGUUGUCCCGGUUUAAGCGUGUAGGCUGGUUUUCCAGGCAAAUCCGGAAAAUCAAGGCUGAGGCGUGAUGACGAGGCACUACGGUGCUGAAGCAACAAAUGCCCUGCUUCCAGGAAAAGCCUCUAAGCAUCAGGUAACAUCAAAUCGUACCCCAAACCGACACAGGUGGUCAGGUAGAGAAUACCAAGGCGCUUGAGAGAACUCGGGUGAAGGAACUAGGCAAAAUGGUGCCGUAACUUCGGGAGAAGGCACGCUGAUAUGUAGGUGAAGUCCCUCGCGGAUGGAGCUGAAAUCAGUCGAAGAUACCAGCUGGCUGCAACUGUUUAUUAAAAACACAGCACUGUGCAAACACGAAAGUGGACGUAUACGGUGUGACGCCUGCCCGGUGCCGGAAGGUUAAUUGAUGGGGUCAGCGCAAGCGAAGCUCUUGAUCGAAGCCCCGGUAAACGGCGGCCGUAACUAUAACGGUCCUAAGGUAGCGAAAUUCCUUGUCGGGUAAGUUCCGACCUGCACGAAUGGCGUAAUGAUGGCCAGGCUGUCUCCACCCGAGACUCAGUGAAAUUGAACUCGCUGUGAAGAUGCAGUGUACCCGCGGCAAGACGGAAAGACCCCGUGAACCUUUACUAUAGCUUGACACUGAACAUUGAGCCUUGAUGUGUAGGAUAGGUGGGAGGCUUUGAAGUGUGGACGCCAGUCUGCAUGGAGCCGACCUUGAAAUACCACCCUUUAAUGUUUGAUGUUCUAACGUGGACCCGUGAUCCGGGUUGCGGACAGUGUCUGGUGGGUAGUUUGACUGGGGCGGUCUCCUCCUAAAGAGUAACGGAGGAGCACGAAGGUUGGCUAAUCCUGGUCGGACAUCAGGAGGUUAGUGCAAUGGCAUAAGCCAGCUUGACUGCGAGCGUGACGGCGCGAGCAGGUGCGAAAGCAGGUCAUAGUGAUCCGGUGGUUCUGAAUGGAAGGGCCAUCGCUCAACGGAUAAAAGGUACUCCGGGGAUAACAGGCUGAUACCGCCCAAGAGUUCAUAUCGACGGCGGUGUUUGGCACCUCGAUGUCGGCUCAUCACAUCCUGGGGCUGAAGUAGGUCCCAAGGGUAUGGCUGUUCGCCAUUUAAAGUGGUACGCGAGCUGGGUUUAGAACGUCGUGAGACAGUUCGGUCCCUAUCUGCCGUGGGCGCUGGAGAACUGAGGGGGGCUGCUCCUAGUACGAGAGGACCGGAGUGGACGCAUCACUGGUGUUCGGGUUGUCAUGCCAAUGGCACUGCCCGGUAGCUAAAUGCGGAAGAGAUAAGUGCUGAAAGCAUCUAAGCACGAAACUUGCCCCGAGAUGAGUUCUCCCUGACCCUUUAAGGGUCCUGAAGGAACGUUGAAGACGACGACGUUGAUAGGCCGGGUGUGUAAGCGCAGCGAUGCGUUGAGCUAACCGGUACUAAUGAACCGUGAGGCUUAACCUUACAACGCCGAAGGUGUUU